GAUGAACGCUGGCGGCGUGCCUAAUACAUGCAAGUCGAGCGAACAGACGAGGAGCUUGCUCCUUUGACGUUAGCGGCGGACGGGUGAGUAACACGUGGGUAACCUACCUAUAAGACUGGGAUAACUUCGGGAAACCGGAGCUAAUACCGGAUAAUAUUUCGAACCGCAUGGUUCGAUAGUGAAAGAUGGCUCUGCUAUCACUUAUAGAUGGACCUGCGCCGUAUUAGCUAGUUGGUAAGGUAACGGCUUACCAAGGCAACGAUACGUAGCCGACCUGAGAGGGUGAUCGGCCACACUGGAACUGAGACACGGUCCAGACUCCUACGGGAGGCAGCAGUAGGGAAUCUUCCGCAGAGGGCGAAAGCCUGACGGAGCAACGCCGCGUGAGUGAUGAAGGUCUUCGGAUCGUAAAACUCUGUUAUUAGGGAAGAACAAACGUGUAAGUAACUGUGCACGUCUUGACGGUACCUAAUCAGAAAGCCACGGCUAACUACGUG
rnacentral:rRNA from 1 species